rnacentral:tRNA from 1 species
GGAGCGGUGUCCGAGCGGUUUAAGGAGGCGGUCUUGAAAACCGUUGAGCCGAAAGGUUCCGGGGGUUCGAAUCCCCCCUGCUCCG